rnacentral:misc_RNA from 1 species
UCUCCGUUGGCGAACCAGCGGAGGGAUCAUUAUCGAGUUUACAACUCCCAAACCCCUGUGAACCAUACCAUCGUUGCUUCGGCGGGAUCGUCCCGGCGCCUCUGGCCCGGACCCAGGCGCCCGCCGGAGACCCAAACUCUUGACUUUUAGAGAUUUCUUCUGAGUAACACAAGUAAAUAAAUUAAAACUUUUAACAACGGAUCUCUUGGUUCUG